AUGCUUGUUUCAGUAGCACAUAUAUUAAAAUUGGAAAGACACGGAGAUUAGCAUUGCCCCUGCACAAGGAUGACUCGAAAAUUCGUGAAGCGUUCCAUAUUUGG